UUGUUUUCACUUUCUCGGUCUGUUCCUCUCUAACUCCGCCUAAACCCUCUCUCUAAAAAAAAUUUCCAAAUCAAAGUGCAAAAACGAUGAAAUUGAAAUACGUAAAGUAAUGAUGAUAGACAUGGUGUUGGAUCUGAUAUUUGGGCGUUGUUAAGAACUAAAACGCAAAGAUUGAAGCAAGACCCAGGAUUUCACCAUGUAAAAGGCCUAAAUGUGGGUUUCUAUCAGAUUUAAACAAGUCAAAGCAUGGACGUCUAAGGAACUAAGCAUAUCGGUAUGGACAUGUGGGAUGUGGCUAUGGAGAGAAGGGAAGCUGCUCGAGAAAUUGUUUGCAGAGCAUAUCUAGGGGUUUGGAAUGAGGUGUUGGUUACUACAAUGUAAAUACCUCUCAUUUCCUUUUACAUUGCUCUAUGGUUUUCAACAUUGAAAGCUAGCACAACUUGUGAAGCUACUUACAUUGGCUGUUCAUUUGCUAUUGUUUAAAGCCGAUUUGCCCCGUGUUAUCCAGUCUACUAAAACAUUGUUAUUGCCUCUCUUUAUUGGUUCAGGAUGUCACAGAGACCUGGAUUUCGGGAUGUUUGUAUUGGCUUAUAAUUUUUUACCCAUCUUCAACGCAAAAUCAUCGAGGGAUUUGAUAUUGCGGUUAGCGGGGAGUUAGAAAGGGAGAGCUUAUGUUUCCACCUUUAGCUUUUAUUGCGACUUACAUUUCCUGCGUCCUCAGCCCAAGUCAAGGCAACUGAGAGGCUUGAGGUUGUAUACCGUGUCCUAAAAUAGGUGAUUCUUAAUGGUUCACCUGGACGUAAAGCAAGAAGCAAGUUAGCAAGCAGAUAUUUACUUUCUUGCUCAAAGCUGUAGGAAAGAGCACAAAUAAAGGAACAAGCUGUGUUAGAUGAGAAUGGUGCAAGAAACACCAUCACCUAGUGUUAUUCUGAUGCCCAUACAUGAUCAAGCUUCGAAUCCUUGCGCUAUUACAACUACUCCAGCAAGAGGAACCAGUUCAUAAUAUUAAUGAAGAAGUCUUCUUGCACUGAGCACAUUGUUAAGCUAGGGGUAGAGGUAAUUUAAACUGAUGAUGUUGGAAUACCAGUAGAUGUAAAGCAGGGAUAGCAUCUGUCUAGUAUAUGGCACAUGAACUGAACCGGUUUUUUUACACCUGAAUGUCUAGUAUGUGUCUCAGCCAUUCAAUUUGGUGAAUGAUUAUUAUUGUAAAUUGUUGCUGAGGUAUUGUAGUUUCAGAAAUAAGAAUAAAAUUUGCAGUCUCAAAAUUUGCAUUUGAAAA